rnacentral:rRNA from 1 species
UACGAAGGGGGCUAGCGUUGUUCGGAAUUACUGGGCGUAAAGGGCGCGUAGGUGGUCCUGAUCGUCGGAUGUGAAAGGCCUGGGCUCAACCUGGGAAUGGCAUCCGAUACGGCGGGACUGGAGUGUGGGAGAGGUUGGUGGAAUUCCCAGUGUAGAGGUGAAAUUCGUAGAUAUUGGGAAGAACACCGGUGGCGAAGGCGGCCAACUGGACCACAACUGACGCUGAGGCGCGAAAGCGUGGGGAGCAAACAGG